UGCGGGGUAGUGCAGAGGUUACCACGGCGGGUUAGUGUCCCGCAGGCGCAAGUUCGAUUCUUGCCCCCGCUA
rfam:Alistipes sp. CHKCI003 isolate CHKC3 genome assembly, contig: {contig42}